rnacentral:rRNA from 1 species
AGUGAACGCUGGCGGUAGGCCUGACACAUGCAAGUCGAACGGCAGCACAGUAAGAGCUUGCUCUUACGGGUGGCGAGUGGCGGACGGGUGAGGAAUACAUCGGAAUCUACUUUUUCGUGGGGGAUAACGUAGGGAAACUUACGCUAAUACCGCAUACGACCUACGGGUGAAAGCAGGGGAACUUCGGACCUUGCGCGAUUGAAUGAGCCGAUGUCGGAUUAGCUAGUUGGCGGGGUAAAGGCCCACCAAGGCGACGAUCCGUAGCUGGUCUGAGAGGAGGAUCAGCCACACGGGAACGGAGACACGGUCCAGACUCCUACGGGAGGCAGCAGUGGGGAAUAUUGGACAAUGGGCGCAAGCCUGAUCCAGCCAUACCGCGUGGGUGAAGAAGGCCUUCGGGUUGUAAAGCCCUUUUGUUGGGAAAGAAAAGCAGCAGGUUAAUACCCCGCUGUUCUGACGGUACCCAAAGAAUAAGCACCGGCUAACUUCGUG